GUUUGUAGAGUUACUCCUAGAAAAUGAACUAAGAGGGUGGAGCCGGGUUUUUACUGUUCCAUAGCCCCACUCCACCCAAAAAACCCACUGCUCUUUAAUUAUUAGCAAAUUUUUCUACCGGACAUCACAAUUUUGUGGUUUUAACCGUAGGACACCACACAAAAUCAUUUUUGGGAAACACACUCUGAAAAUAUGGUUAUUUGCUAGGGGACACUCUAUCCAUUAAAUUAAUGUUUUCGUGUUGACUAGACGAGAGUGGGCUCACAUUUUUACGUGUCUUGACCAAAUUACCCAUUCUUUCUUUCUCUUCCUUAUCUGAAAUCUCUCCCUCUCUCUUUUUUAUCUCUUCUCCCGGCGGAUGGCGUGGUUGGCAGCGUCGACAUCGACGUCAGCACCCGGAGCGCGUGUGGCCUAUUCAGCGGCGGCGGUGGCGGCAGCCUGCUCGGCGGUGGUGGCCUGUUCAGCGGCGGCAGCACGCACGGCGGUGGCCUGCUCACUGGCGGUAGUCUGCUCGACAGCAGCAGCAGCCUGCUCGGUGGCAGUGCCCGGAGCGCGCGCGGCCUGCUCGGCGGCGGUGGCGGAGCCCGAAGCACAUGCGGCCUGUUCCGUGGACGGUGGCGCGCGCGGCCUGCUCGGCAGCGGCGGUGGCCACGGACCACGCCAGUGCGUGGAUCUCUGCCACCAGUCCACCACGGCUCGCUCGGUGUGGACAACGGCGACAAUGACGACUUCAAGUGCCCACUGUACAGGGAAGUGACGGAGGGAGGUGUCGGACGUAUGUGCCUGCCACAGUACGGUUCGGCAACGGCCUCGCCAUUGCGAGAGCGGCAGCGGCACCGGCGGAUGACCACGACACAUCAUGGGCACGUGGUGCUCAUCGUGGUGAUGUUGCUGCUGUUGGUUUGGUGGUGUUGCUCUCCAUGGUUAUGCUGCUACUAGCUGCUGGUUGGUGAUGGGGAAGAAGAAGACGCACUCCAGGCAGUAGAUGUCCAACCACUCCUCAUUCGCCGAUAGACAGAGAAGAGAGAUGGGAGAACUAACAUUGUCCGCUGGCGACUUACCACGUAUAUGGAGUGUCUUUCCCCAAAAGUCAUUUCGUGUGGUGUUCUACAACUAAAACAGUAAAGUCACGAUGUAGUGUAGCAAAAUUUUCUUUAAUUAUUUGACGUAUUUACGCGAAAAUGCCACUGACCUACCCCAACCUCCUCACCUCCCUACCCGACGACCGGGCGAGCAGAAGGCCACGGCAUUCCGGCGGCGGCUCGGCGAUGCGCGUGCGGGCAGCAGGGUGACGACGGUGCUCCGGCAGCGGUGCGCGGACGGGCAGCAGGGCGACGGCGGCACUUCGGCAGCGGCUCUGAGCGCACAGGCAGUAGGCCAGCGACGGCGCAGCUUGGCGACGCGUGGGCGGGCAGCAGCCGCAGCGCUCCGGCGGCGUCGCGCGGCCGGGUAGCAGGGCGACGGCGGUGCUCCAACGGCGGUUCGGUGCGCGCGGCCAGCAGGCUGACGGCGGCGCGGCUCUGAGCUAAUCCCCUAGACCCUUUUUCCUUUUUUUUUUCAAUUUCAAAUCUGCACAAAAAGAACAAUAGGGUGAUUUUGCAUGUAUGUUGUGGGGGAUUUCUUUUUUAUAUGAACUAUAUAGAUGUGAAAAAUUAUCAUGUGUUUAUACAAAUUGAAGUGAGAACAAAAUGGUAGACUAUACAAAUUUCAAAUCUAAACCAAGAAAACACUAGGAUGCUUUCACUAAUUAUGUCAAUUAUUUUGGUGAUUAAGUUUUAACCUUAUAAUUAUGUUGCUGAAAUUCUAAAUAAAAAUAAACAUUUAUCAGUCAUACAUCACGGAAAUAGAAAAAAACCACAAGGGUACUAUUGUCAACCUCCCCCUAUGCUCUGUUUCUGAAGUUCUGAAGCAGAGUAAGCUUGUCAAACACUUUUCACAUGACAUCCAACUCCCACAGGAGCGAGUGAGAGUUAGGAGCUAGGAGUUGGAAUUUGGAGCCCUCCCAAACAGGCCUUCCUGCAUAACUAGCUUUGUCCUGUUUUUGUACGUUGCUAGCACAUUGUGAUUUAAACUAUACAAGACAAAGGUGAGAAAAAUAAGUGAAAAUUCCUUUAUAAUAAUUAAUAGGACGUUCCCGUCAUUAACUUAACCCUACAAACAUUGCUUCAUUGCUUGAAACAUCUAACUAAAUAAUUUUAAAUUCUAUCAAAAUUUUAUAUAAUAAAUCAUACGAACAUCUUAUAUAAACAGUACCGUGGACGUGUUCUCAGCCAUACUUAAAAUGUGUUCUUGCUGGCUUUCCCAAACUCACCCUCCUUGUUUUUUGCAAAAAUAUUCUAUACACAAGUUGUUUUAGAAAAUCAUAUUAAUCAAUUUUUUUUAAAAAAAUAAUGCUUAAUUAAUCAUAUCACUACUAGAAAAACGAUUUUUUAUGGCGUUGGCCUAAUAUUUUCUCUGGCGAUAAAAUGUGAAAACCGCCAACAAGGUUGUAACGAGGGGUGGGAGGCAACGACCGCCAGCAAAAAAAGAUUUUCGUUGGCGGCCGAGUAAUACAGGCCGCCAGCGAAGAUUUUUUUAUUUUCGCUGGCGGUACCUUCUAAGUGCCGCCAGCGAAAAUAGGUUCAUCUUCGCUAGCGGUAUGAUGAUAUGGACCGCCAUUGAAGAUGAACCUAUUUUCUCUGGUGGCUCUCUUUAGCCACCGCCACCUCUAUCAUUUUAUAUGGCGGUGCAUUAAGUAGUCCACCAGUGAAAAUUGGUUCUCCUAUAUAAGGCCGUGCCCAAGCUACCAUGCCAUUUGAGCACGAUUUUCUCUCUCUUAUGAACUCAAACAUAGGGGGAGAAGUUUUUGAACUCGAAUGGUUUGAUAGAUAUUUUGUACCAAAAGGUUAGUUAUACUUUAUAGUUCUCCAUUUCUCAAUUUUUUUUUUCAUUUUUAUCCGUUCUAUGUUGAGAUUUUGCAAGGUCAAGUUUCCAAGGCAUGUUCGUUUUGAUUUGUUUUGUGGUGUUGAAAACGGUCAAAAUUGUUAUGAUAUAUUGUACAUGAUCAAUGUAUAUAGAUUUCACAAUGUUUUGAUAUGUUUAUUUAUAGAAGAUCUAUAUGGCACGGUUGUUUUGUGCACUUUAAAUCUAUAUAUCUGGUUAUGAAAGAGAAUUGAGAGAAAGAAAGAGGGUAGUUUGGUAAUUUUAUCUAGUUUUUUCUAGUUGUAUGUCUAGUUGUCAUGUAUUGGGAAUAUAUGAGUGGUAGUUUUUUUUUAAAAAAUGAAGUCAUAAUAUAGUUUUAAUUUUUCCGUGUUUAUACUAAUUGUAAUAUUUUUCACAAUGUUUAAUUUAUUUGUUUACAUAUUAGCAUAAUUA